AAGAGUUCAAAUGUCCAAGUACCUUUACUCAGAUAAAGAGAAAAAAAAAUAGAAGCUCUGUGUGGGGGCGCUUCAUCUUGGGGAGAUUAGGGCUAUGUUUGGAGGGGCUUUUUAGCUCCCCCGCUUAUAAGCACAAGAUGACUAUGCGUUUGGUAACCCGACUUAUGUUUAGCUUAUUCCAAACCCGACUUAUGUUUAGCUUAUUCCAAAAGCCGUUGCGGCUUCUCUCGAAAAGUAGAAGCUGCCUGACCCCUGCUUUCAGAAGCUAGAAGCCAGGAUCCUACUGUAGCGGGAGUGACUGUAGAUUAAUGAAUCUUUCAAAAUAUCGGUCUCUAUCCUCCCUUGGUUGAGGCAAUUACGGAUUGCCAUGAAACCUUUCUUCUAUCUAGAGUCUAGACGUUGCACAAUCUCUCUUCCUGUCAUCACAGACGCCGCAUCACACACACCCUCCCUCUGACGCUGCCUCAGCCUCUCAUCAAGAUUUCGAGUUGGAAAUCGAAGCCUCAAUCAAGGCUGCUUGGCAAUUUGAUUCAGUCCUCAAGGUAUCCAGGGUCUCCUUCCUUGCUUAGUCCCGUGACAGAGGAAGACGAAGAACCUGUUCAUAUUGAUGAAACUAGUGCAGAUGACCAUGACGACAUAAUGCAGUGGAGUGAGCAAGAUAAUGAUAUGAGCAGUGAGGAAUUUAGGGAAGUCAUUGAAUAAAAAAUAUGAUCACAAUUCCUAAUGGCCAUAUGCUGGGGGGAUAUAUGCGGUAGAACCGAUUAGGCUCCAAAUGCUCAUUUUGUCUUGUGCUGGACCUGAAUCAUCUGAUUACAAUUCUACCAAAUACACUUUGGAACAUUUGACCUGCCUCCACUAGUAGGAAAUGAUUGUAUUCUUGAAAGGAUGUUGUUAUGCAGUUUGAGCCAUCAAUAUUGAAAGUUGUUACGAAGUGUACAACUUAAUGCUCUGCUCAUUCAACAUUAUUACAUGAACUAUGUUCAUAAAA